rnacentral:lncRNA from 1 species
GUGUAGCGGGUGAACAGCGGAAGACUGGCGAGGAGACAGGAGCACGCUGACUGAUCAAUCAGUCCAGCUGCCAAAACACUUGGUGUGCAGAACCCAUGAGGAGCAGCGGGUCGCGACCCUUAGAUGUGUGCCACACAGGUGCCAAUCUGGACUUGCAUACUCCUAAAGAAUUACUGCUUCCCUUGUUAUCUGAUGCACCAUACCAUCUAGAAGCAGAGAUCUACUUAAAAAAAUCAUCCUGAAAUAAGAAUGCUCAGAUGAUCAGAGAAGUGGAAGUGGAUAAAGUGACUUUGCUGGAAAGAAAACAAGUUGAUGCAAUCAAGAAGCUCUGGGAAGACCCAGGAAUUCAAGAGUGCUAUUCAGGAAUGGAAAUAACAUGUCUUCCUUCAGACCAAGGUACAGGACUUGACCUCACACACUGCAUAACUGAGGGAAGGAGACUGUUUGUUUUGUAUUAAACAUACUCAUUUAAUGAAUGUUCUGCAUCUUAUUUAAGCAUGUAUUACUCAAAGUGAAUAUGGAAUUAUUAAUCACCUCCUGAGAGGCAUCUAACUAACUUUUCUUUUUUGAUACUGCCUGGCUUCCUUCAUCUUACUUUCUAAUUUCUAUUAAAGGAUAGGAACCAAACCAAGUCAUAUUCACUACACAAAUUACUCAUCCAUUUCAGGAAAAAAAUUCAAACACAAGUUUACUGGAGUUUGAUUUUGAAAGCUUAGUGUUCUUCUAUUAUUAUUUUGAGAGCAAUUUCCUAUGGGUGGAGUGGAGGAAGGUGGGCUGUUCCUGAUUUUGCUUAAAAAAAAAAGUCUAUUAGGCAGAACUAGUCUACUCCCAAACAUGGC